rnacentral:lncRNA from 1 species
AUGGUGACGAUGAUGAUGACCAACGACGGUGACGAUGAUGAGCCGUGGCAACGGCCAACAAUGACAACAGUGAUGAUGAUGAUGACAGUGCCAGAUGAUGAAGAUGACGACACCAAUGACGAUGACAAUGACGGUGAAGACGAUACCAGUGAUGACACUGAUGACGAUGAUGACACCAAUGACGUUGACAAUGACACCGAUGACAAUGAUGAUGACAAUGACGGUGAAGACGAUACCAAUGAUGACACUGAUGACGAUGAUGACACCAAUGACGAUGAUGAAGAUGACGCCGAUGAUGAUGAAGAUGACACCGAUGAUGAUGAAGAUGACACCAAUGACGAUGAUGAAGAUGACACCAAUGAUGAUGAAGAUGACACCAAUGAUGAUGAAGAUGACACCAAUGAUGAUGAUGAAGAUGACACCAAUGACGAUGAUGAAGAUGACGACGAUGAUGAUGAAGAUGACACCGAUGACGAUGAUGAAGAUGACACCGAUGACGAUGAUGAAGAUGACACCGAUGACGAUGAUGAAGAUGAUACCAAUGACGAUGAAGAUGACACCGAUGGCGAUGAAGAUGACACCAAUGACGAUGAUGAAGAUGACACCGAUGACAAUGAAGAUGACACCAAUGACGAUGAUGAAGAUGACGAUGAAGAUGACUCCAAUGACGAUGAUGAAGAUGACACCAAUGACGAUGAUGAAGAUGACACCGAUGAUGAUGAAGAUGACGCCGCCACCGCCGCGGCCCCGCCUGGCCCAGCCCCUCCCCCCCCGCAUGUUUAUUUAACUCUUUCCUGCUCUUUUCUCCCNGGUUUUGGGGGAAUUCCUGCGGUUUUCGGGGAAUUCCCGCGGUUUUCGGGGAAUUCCUGUGGUUUUGGGGGAAUUCCUGCGGUUUUCGGGGAAUUCCCGCGGUUUUCGGGGAAUUCCUGUGGUUUUGGGGGAAUUCCUGCGGUUUUGGGGGAAUUCCCGCGGUUUUCGGGGAAUUCCCGCAGUUUUCGGGGAAUUCCUGCGGUUUUCGGGGAAUUCCCGCAGUUUUCGGGGAAUUCCUGCAGUUUUUGGGAACGUCGGGUCGGCCGGAGGCGGCUCCCGGUGGUCGCGGCUCCGGGAGCGCAGCGGUGACGGUGGCAACGAUGACGAUGACGAUGACCAACAGUGGUGAUGGUGACAAUGGCCAUGGCCAAUGAUGGUGACAAUGACCGUGGCCAACAAAGUUGACAUUGACCAACAAUGGUGACAAUGACCAAUGAUGGUGACAAUGGCCAACUAUGGUGACAAUGGCCAUGGGCAACGAUGGUGACGAUGACAAUGACCAAUGAUGGUGACAAUGACCAAUGAUGGUGACAAUGACCAACUGUGGUGACAAUGGCCAACUAUGGUGACAAUGGCCAUGGGCAACGAUGGUGACGAUGACAAUGACCAACUAUGGUGACAAUGGCCAUGGCCAACAAUAGUGACGAUGACCAACAAUGGUGACAAUGACGAUGACCAACGACGGUGACGAUGAUGAGCCGUGGCAACGGCCAACAAUGACAACAGUGAUGAUGAUGAUGACAGUGCCAGAUGAUGAAGAUGAUGACACCAAUGAUGAUGACAAUGACGGUGAAGACGAUACCAAUGAUGAUGACACUGAUGACGAUGACACCAAUGACGUUGACAAUGACACCAAUGACGAUGAUGACACCAAUGAUGGUGACAAUGACACCGAUGACGAUGAUGAUGACAAUGAUGUUGACAAUGACACCAAUGAUGACAAUGACACUGAUGAUGAUGACAAUGACGAUGAAGAAGACGACACCGAUGAUGACAAUGACGAUGACACCGAUGACGACAAUGAUGACAAUGACACUGAUGAUGACAAUGACACCGAUGACGAUGAUGACACCGAUGAUGUUGACAAUGACACCAAUGAUGACAAUGACACUGAUGAUGAUGACAAUGACGAUGAAGACAAUGACACCGAUGAUGAUGAUGACGAUGACACCGAUGAUGACAAUGAUGACAAUGACACUGAUGAUGAUGACAAUGACGAUGGAGACCAGGAUGACACCAAUGGUGAUGGUGAUGAUGACAAUGACAAUGAAGACAACAAUGACACUGAUGAUGAUGAUGAUGAUGAAGA